GCACCUACCGCUCUCUCUCUCGUGUCCUCGGUUCCCCAAUGCGCCGCCGCCCCUCGCCGACGUGCAGUCCAACGCAGGCCGCAUCCGCCACCGCCUCCACGCACUGAGCGAGCUUCUUCUUGGUGCCCUCCACUGGAUCCCUACCCGCACCCCGCCUUUCCGCCCCUGAGCGCGACGCUGCGCCUAACCCUAGCCAUCGGGUUCGUCGCUGUCGCCGCCACGGUACCGCGACGCCGCUCCUCCGAGCCCUCGCACGACGUCCUCCUCCCCAGAAUCCGUCGUCGGCCGAUGCGUGGCGAAGCGGCAGCAGCAGACGCCGAGGCGGCGUGGCACCCGCGCUCGCCGGCGCCGCACGACCUCUCCGACGAAUCCGACUACGCCGCCGCCACCUCCGUCUCCUCCUCCAUCCACGCGGUACGCGCCCGCAACCUGCUUGGCCGGCGUCUGUAGCGACGCCGCAUCCUGGUCGGCCAUUGUCGGAGGGGGCUGUAUUGCUCGAGUCGGGGAGAGAGCCGACACGGAGUGGCGACGCCACAGCUUGCUCUAGCGGCGAUGGGGAGAGUUGCUGCUCACACCCUUCUCCUUCCAACGGGGAAGAGGUCGGCGAUUCAACUCGAAAGGAAGGCAUGUGCUCCGCCGGAGAGAUGGCACAAAACUUGUAAGGGAACACAGAUGAAUAAAUCUUGAGAAGCAACUUGCCCCACAACGGAAAUUUGUAGCAGCUCCCGAACCCGCGGUCACUACCAAAUCUGUGUGUUCCAGGAAAGUACAGCUAAACAAGAGUAUAGAAAAGGAGGUCUUAAUACAGGUGUCUAACUCCAGCCCUCAUCUCAGUUUUCAUCUGCUAGUCGUUUUGAAUUUGACAGAACAAAAUUCAUGUUUUGGCAUCACAGGGAAUUCAGGAGCAUAUCUUGAACCACAGAGAAUCUCCAAAUUGAAUUAUCCAUCCUGAUCUUCCAGAAAGAAACAACCUGGUGGCAGUUUUUCCGUGGAAGGGGUGGUUGAGCUCGGUGUUAUGCAUGGGCGGGCACAGGAUACAUACAGUGGUUAAUGGAGAAAGGGAAGUUGUCUGUGCACCAAGAGGCUCAGCAGAUUGAGUGUUACAUUUUCUGCUGUAGAUGCAGUGCGAGUGGUGGAAUGCAGUUGAGGUCGAAGAAUGCCGUUGGAGAGACCAGAGGUUGCCGUGGUGGUGCUUGCCGGAGAUCACGGCGAGAUGCUCUGCUGGGAGAGGAGACCUCGCCGGCGAGGUUGGGGACGAGCUGCUGGUUAAAGAUCAUGUAAUGAUUUUGUAAUUUAGAUGCUACUUGCAAAUGUUGGUUCCAUAUCCUAUAAUUUAGAUGCCUGGCUACAAUUUUAAUGCAUGAUCAUGUUACUGUGUUUGAUUAAA